UACGGAGGGUGCUAGCGUUAUUCGGAAUUACUGGGCGUAAAGCGCACGUAGGCGGAUCUUCAAGUCAGAUGUGAAAUCCCAGGGCUCAACCUUGGAACUGCCUUUGAGACUGCGGGUCUUGAGUUCGAGAGAGGUGAGUGGAAUUCCGAGUGUAGAGGUGAAAUGCGUAGAGAUGCGGAGGAACACCAGAGGCGAAGGCGGCUCACUGGCUCGAUACUGACGCUGAGGUGCGAAAGCGUGGGGAGCAAACAGG
rnacentral:rRNA from 1 species